UACGGGGGGGGCAAGCGUUGUUCGGAAUUACUGGGCGUAAAGGGCUCGUAGGCGGCCAACUAAGUCGGAUGUGAAAUCCCCAGGCUUAACCUGGGAACUGCAUCCGAUACUGGAUGGCUUGAAUCCGGGAGAGGGAUGCAGAAUUCCAGGUGUAGCGGUGAAAUGCGUAGAUAUCUGGAGGAAUACCGGUGGCGAAGGCGGCAUCCUGGACCGGAAUUGACGCUGAGUGAGCGAAAGCUAGGGGAGCAAACGGG
rnacentral:rRNA from 1 species